rnacentral:rRNA from 1 species
UACAGAGACUGCAAGCGUUAUUCGGAUUCACUGGGCGUAAAGGGUGCGUAGGCGGUUGAAUGUGUGGAUCGUGAAAGCCUGGGGCUUAACCUCAGAAUGGCGCUCCAAACUAUUCAUCUAGAGCAUUGAAGAGAGUAGCAGAAUUCACGGUGUAGCAGUGAAAUGCGUAGAUAUCGUGAGGAAUACCAGAGGCGAAGGCGGCUACUUGGACAAUUGCUGACGCUCAGGCACGAAAGCGUGGGGAGCAAAAGGG